GCGCCCGUAGCUCAGUUGGAUAGAGCGCCAGGCUACGAACCUGGAGGUCGUGAGUUCGAAUCUUGCCGGGCGCGCCA
rnacentral:tRNA from 1 species